GACAGAGGGUGCAAACGUUGUUCGGAAUUACUGGGCUUAAAGCGCGCGUAGGCGGCGCCGUAAGUGUCGGGUGAAAUCCCACGGCUCACCCGUGGAACUGCCCGGCAGACUGCGAUGCUCGAGUGUGGUAGGGGAGAGCGGAACUCCUGGUGGAGCGGUGAAAUGCGUAGAUAUCAGGAGGAACACCGGUGGCGAAGGCGGCUCUCUGGUCCACAACUGACGCUGAGGUGCGAAAGCUAGGGGAGCAAACGGG
rnacentral:rRNA from 1 species